ACACGUAGUCAACUGCCUGAAGACAAGGACAACCCCGGGAAACUGGGAUUAAUCCUUGAUAGGCCAUCUCAUCUGGAAGGAGAGAUGGCUUAAAGGGGUGCGAGAGCUUCUUUCUUGUACCCGCUUCAGGAUGGGACUGCGGCCGAUCAGGCUGUUGGUGGGGUAAUGGCCCACCAAACCUGUAACCGGUACGGGCCUUGAGAGAGGGGGCCCGGAGAUGGACACUGAGAGAAGGGUCCAGGUCCUACGGGGCGCAGCAGGCGCGGAACCUUCACAAUGCGCGAAAGCGUGAUGAGGUUAAUCCGAGUGGUCCCCGCUGAGGGGAUCUUUUCUUGGCUAUAAAACGGCCAGGGAAUAAGGGGAGGGCAAGUCUGGUGUCAGCCGCCGCGGUAAUACCAGCUCCUCGAGUGGUCGGGGCGAUUAUUGGGCCUAAAGCAUCCGUAGCCUGUUCUGUAGGUCCGCUGUUAAAUCCAACGGCUUAACCGUUGGCCUGCAGCGGAUACCGCAGGACUAGGAGGCGGGAGAGGUGGACGGUACUCCACGUGUAGGGGUAAAAUCCUUUGAUCCGUGGAAGACCACCAGUGGCGAAGGCGGUCCACCAGAACGCGCUCGACGGUGAGGGAUGAAAGCUGGGGGAGCGAACCGGAUUAGAUACCCGGGUAGUCCCAGCCGUAAACGAUGCGAGCUAGAUGAUCCGGUCGCAAAUCGCGAUCGGAGUGUCGCAGGGAAGCCGUUAAGCUCGCCGCCUGGGGAGUACGGUCGCAAGACUGAAACUUAAAGGAAUUGGCGGGAA
rnacentral:rRNA from 1 species